GCCGAAGCUCGAUCUGUUAGUGCGCAUUUUGUGCUUCAUGUGUCCAUUAUACGGAUCGUAUAAUUAUUGUUUUAAUCGAUUUCUGAUCUAUUAAGAAUUGUUGUAAUAAUAUUCCUUAACUUUCGUACCCCUUUGUCUUGAUCGAUCUUUAAUUCUUUUCCAUCCUCCUCCCCUUUACCACCGCGUUCAAACGCGAUCUUCCUAGUUCGAAACUCGUUCGUGAUAGCAAACGAUUUUGUUUCAACUAAUUUUCUCGGAUUUUUAAAUCAAAAUAAAUAAUAAGAAUAAGAUCGCGCGGUAAAACAACGUCAACCGUAAAUUUCUGAUUCUUCUGCUUUUGUGUGGUUAAAAAGCAAAAACACCCAGUUGUUUGCAAGAUGCCUCUAUCGGAAUUUCGCAAGAAGAAGCUGCUUUACGUCUUCAACGCCUUUUUCGAUGUUAACCAGAGCGGUGCCAUCGAUAAGAAAGAUUUCGAUCUGGCUGUACAGCGGAUCUGCAAUUCCAGACAUUGGAGUGCCGAUAAUCCGAAAACAACGCAGACGAAGGAUACCUUGUUGAAAAUAUGGGAAGGCUUGCAACAACGAGCCGAUUCUGAUCAAGAUGGACAAAUCAGCCGAGACGAGUGGUAUUCUAUGUGGGAAGAUUACGCUAAGGAUCCAGCUAACGCACAUGAUUGGCAACAAACGUACAUGAAAUUUAUGUUCGAUCUUGAGGAUUCCUCCGGUGACGGAUCAAUCGAUGAGAACGAGUUUAGCAACGUUUGUCACAGUCAUGGCGUACAGGAGACUGAGGCUCGUGAUGCUUUCAAAAAAAUGGGGGUGGGUAAAGAAGUAACACGGGACAAGUUCUAUGAGCUUUGGAAACAAUACUUCACCUCUGACGAUCCCAACGCACCUGGAAACUUUAUAUUCGGAAAGACCUCGUUCUAACCGUCCUUUCGCUUCGGAUUCUUACACGACAUUUAUUAUUAUUAUUAUUAUUAUUAUUAUCUUUUCGUUAUCAGCACGUCGAAAUAUAUUGCAUAGAGCUGAAAGAUAUCUCUUAUAUGAGAAGAAGGAUGGUAAUGAGGAAAAAAAGAAAAAAAAAAUUAUGAUAUCAUAAUAAUUGUUAAUAUCUCGUUGUUUAAUUGGUAAUAAUCGUUGAUAACGCUAUUAAUCGCCGUUAACACCGAAACUAAAUAUUGCGUAAUGUUCUAUAACGUGUUGUUGUAAAUUUAGUUAAAACGAUUUCGAUUCUAUGCGAAUCGUUCUGUGUAAUGUCGUAAAACCAAAACGUAUUAAGAGUUUUAAUAGUUUCUAUAUGUUUGAAUAAACUCAUUUAAUUCAACGAA
rnacentral:misc_RNA from 1 species